GAAGAAGGACAGACGAUCGCCGCCCGUUUAAAACGGGGGGAGGAAAGUCCGGGCUCCGCAGGACGGGAUGGUUCCUAACGGGAACCGGGGGUGACCCCAGGGAAAGUGCCACAGAGAGGAGACCGCCCGGAGGCCUUUGGCCGACGGGUAAGGGUGAAAGGGUGAGGUAAGAGCUCACCAGUUCCGGCGGUGACGUCGGAAGCUCGGUAAACCCCAUCCGGAGCAAGACCGAAUAGGGG
rnacentral:RNase_P_RNA from 1 species